rnacentral:rRNA from 1 species
ACGCUAGCUACAGGCUUAACACAUGCAAGUCGAGGGGAAACGACAUCGAAAGCUUGCUUUUGAUGGGCGUCGACCGGCGCACGGGUGAGUAACGCGUAUCCAACCUGCCCAUCACUUGGGAAUAACCUUGCGAAAGUAAGACUAAUACCCAAUGAUAUCCCACGAAGGCAUCCGAAUGAGAUUAAAGAUUUAUCGGUGAUGGAUGGGGAUGCGUCUGAUUAGCUUGUUGGCGGGGUAACGGCCCACCAAGGCGACGAUCAGUAGGGGUUCUGAGAGGAAGGUCCCCCACAUUGGAACUGAGACACGGUCCAAACUCCUACGGGAGGCAGCAGUGAGGAAUAUUGGUCAAUGGGCGAGAGCCUGAACCAGCCAAGUAGCGUGCAGGAUAACGGCCCUAUGGGUUGUAAACUGCUUUUAUAAGGGAAUAAAGUGAGUCUCGUGAGACUUUUUGCAUGUACCUUAUGAAUAAGGACCGGCUAAUUCCGUGCCAGCAGCUGCGGUAAUACGGAAGGUCCGGGCGUUAUCCGGAUUUAUUGGGUUUAAAGGGAGCGUAGGCCGGAGAUUAAGCGUGUUGUGGAAUGUAGACGCUCAACGUCUGCACUGCAGCGCGAACUGGUUUCCUUGAGUACGCACAAAGUGGGCGGAAUUCGUGGUGUAGCGGUGAAAUGCUUAGAUAUCACGAAGAACUCCGAUUGCGAAGGCAGCUCACUGGAGCGCAACUGACGCUGAAGCUCGAAAGUGCGGGUAUCGAACAGGAUUAGAUACCCUGGUAGUCCGCACGGUAAACGAUGGAUGCCCGCUGUUGGUCUGAAUAGGUCAGCGGCCAAGCGAAAGCAUUAAGCAUCCCACCUGGGGAGUACGCCGGCAACGGUG